rnacentral:lncRNA from 1 species
GUGAUAAUCACUGCUAUAGGAGUCUGGGAAGAUCCUAGGAGGUAGACUCUUGUACACAUUGUUUGGUUCUUAAGUUGGACCCAGCUCGACCAGGACCAGUUUCAAAGAAGACCCAGUCUGACCCUGGCCGGUUUCCCAGCCAGCCCACCUCCAGAUGCAGCGAGGAAGCAGCCAGCUCAAGGGGCAGCACAGGAGGCAAGAGAACAAAUGAAGACACAGGAAAAGUAAAAGGCAAGCAUCUGAGAUUGAAGUUAUGA